rnacentral:rRNA from 1 species
UACGGGGGGAGCAAGCGUUGUUCGGAUUUACUGGGCGUAAAGGGUGCGUAGGUGGUCGGGUAAGUCUCAUGUGAAAUCCCGCAGCUUAACUGCGGAACGGCAUGGGAUACUAUUCGGCUCGAGGAUUGGAGGGGGGACUGGAAUUCCCGGUGUAGCAGUGAAAUGCGUAGAUAUCGGGAGGAACACCAGUGGCGAAGGCGAGUCCCUGGACAAUUCCUGACGCUGAGGCACGAAAGCCAGGGGAGCAAACAGG